UCCGAACAGCAGGGGGAAGUAAUGGCUAAUUUAAGCUGCGCCAACAAACCGCGAUGAAGAAGCAGUGAGAGGGUGGAGGAGCGUUUCGACAUGGCAGACAGGUGUAAUGUGGAGCUCAGACGUUGGCGAGCGCUGUUUAUGGAUGUGCAGCGUAAUGAUGCGGCGCCGGCAGCUGCUGUCCGUGGUCCUGAACUUCAAAUGGACACUGGUUUCUCAGAUUGACCUCCAUCGUAUAGUGCGAGCUCUCAGCUGUCAGAAGAUCUGAACUCCAGUUUUCCUCGGUGGCCCGGUCUUCUUCUGGCGCUGCAGGAACCCGCUGAGUUUGCACUGUGGGCUGAGGUAGUAGGUUGUAUAGUUUUAGGGUCACACCCACACUGGGAGAUAACUAUUCAACCUACUGUCUUUCUCAAAGUGCCAGAUGCACAUCUCGGCCUCCGCCCCCUCUGAAGGCCAGUUUUCUGACAUCAGCGUUUGCAUGGAUCCAGAUGUUUUAUCACAGCUGCUCACACAGUGUGAGGUAGUAGAUUGUAUAGUUGUAGGGUAGUGAUUUUGCCCUGUUCUGGAGAUAACUAUACAAUCUAUUGCCUUCCCUGAGGAGUGGUAUAUCUUCAGGGUUUUUGGAAUAAAUGCACAAUGUAUAUGUGAUAAAUGAUCAGUCAGUAAUAAUAAAUGAUGAGAGUUCUAAUGCACAGUGUUUGAUGGGCUUUGUGUGCAGAAAUAAAGGAACAUUUGAAGAGUCA